AUUGGGUUAUGGGAUUGGUCUCCCAGCAUGCCUUGCAGUUCAGCGUAGCCCAGCACUGGGAACCAGAAGGGCGAUUGAGUACACACAGCAUCUGUAUGGGCAUCUCUGGUAAUAACCACUGCCUGGACACAUCUUACAUGAUUAGUGGUCAUUCACUGGUCAGUACCAGAGCACCCAUUGCUUCACUCUGCCUAAUUAUAAUAGCAACAUUGCCCAAUAACAUCAGCCCAGGCACUGCUGGGUUUGUCAUUAGACUCUGUAGGGUUUGCAGAAGUUGGGAUUUUCAGAGAUGUCUGGCAUUCUGAGGCGUAACCAUAGCGAUGCCCAAGAGCACAGAAGAACAUUCCUGACCUCUCACACACAGCUGUGGGUUUGGCCGCCCCCAGGGUGGGAACUGUUUGCUUUAUAUCAGAGGCAGUUCUUCUGUCCAGGCAGCUCUCUGGCCUACCUACACACUACCCAGCCAGAUCACCAUCAUCAUCAUCAUCAUCAUCAUCAUCAUCAUCAUCAGAGAGCAGGGUCACUGAGCCAAAUGUUUAAGACUAUGUGGUCAUUAACUACAUAAUUUCAUGUCUGUUUUCUCAGGUAUUUCACACUAUAUCAUCAUACAUUGUCUAUGAAUGUGUCUUGUUAUAUUAACAUACAGCAUUUGUAAUAAUAUGUAUCUGGUCAUACAAGGCAUACACAAAUGAUAAGAAUGCAGCAGUAAUUAUGUGAUAUAAAGUCAUGCUUGAAAGUUUGAGAACCCUUUAGAAUGUUCUAUAUUUCUGCAUAAAUAUGACCUAAAACAUCAUCAGAUGUUUCACACAAGUCCUAAAAGUAGAUUAAAUGAAACAAAGGUAUCAUAGUUGGUCAUUUAUUUCUUGGGGAAAAUGAUCCAAUAUUACAUGUCUUGAGUAUCUGGUGGGUCUCCUUGAGUAGCAACUAAACAACGCUUCAAGUCCUUCUACUUUACCUCCUAACCUUACUCUAGGGAUCUACCAAGAAAAUCAACAUAUAAUGGCUGAGAAUGGCCGAUAACUGAUAUUUUGGACCGAUAUUCAUUGAUCAUAUUUGGCUGUUGCAAAAACUAAAUUGAUGAAGGGAAUUAUAAUGAGUUCAUUUACAAAUACCUUCUAUGAAAAACAGACAUUGUGCAGAUAUUACACCAAUCUAGGUCUCUAAAGUCUAUGAAAGGCAAAUGAACGGCACCAAUGAUGAUAUUGAUUAAGUGAGCAAAGAUAGGUUAACUAGCUAGCCAGCUAGCUUAAAUUUGUUACGCCAUUAUGUUUUACAUCUUAAAUAAGGUUACAUUAAUAAAGUUAGCUUCAUUCUUAAGAUAUGCAAAAUGACUAAAAUGUGCUAAUAUAGGAUGGGAAAUUGAGAUGAUCCAAUCGGAUCCAGUAAAAGUGUUUGCUGCAAAUGUUAUGGUUCUGGUUGCCAAUCAGGAGUUUACAGAAAUCACUGUUAAUAAGAAAGUGUAAGGAUAUAAAAAAGAAAGAAUAAAAUAUAAAUAGAUCUAGUUCAUCUUUAUAUACAGGUAAACCGGUCAUACAUAGUAUAAACACAAGAGGGCACUUUUUAGACAAAUAUCAGCAUCGCUGAUAUGAGGAGGCAGAGACUGAUCUGAUCCCCCUUUGACACACAUCAGUUACUCUACGUUAUUCUUUUUUUAGAACAACUUGUGUGCAUAUGGUCGCUGUCUUGCUGCCUGGCCCACAUGCUCUUGACAUUCAUUUCAAAGACAGACAUAAUUCAGAAUUCGUUGUUUCAUUAAUGACGGCAAAGCGUCCUGGCCCAGAUUUCGCAAAACCGGCCCAAACCAUGAUACGACCAUCAUCAUGUUUCACAGAUGGGAUAAGGUUGUUAUGAUGGAAUGCUGUGUUUUUCUUUCUUCAAACCUUUAAGCACUUCUCAUUUAAACCAAAAAGUUCUAUUUUGGGCUUAUCCAUCAAAGCCUUCUGGCUUCUCCAUCUUAAGCAGAAUGGAGACAGGCAGCCAUGUUGUUUUGUGGAGAGCAGUAACUGUCUUUCAUGUUGUUCUCCAAAGUGUGAGAGGCCUUUUAGUUGCUACAGGUUACCCUGGUUUCCUUUGUGACCUCACAGACUACUACACGCCUCGCUCUUAGAGAGAUCUUUGUUGGUCGGCCAACAUAUAUGUAAUACUGGAUCAUUUUCAUAUAUGUAAUACUGGAUCAUUUUCUUCAAUAUUUGUACCUCAUCUGUUUGAUUGGGUACUCUUUAUCUACUUUUAGAACUUGUGUGUAAAUCUGAUGAUGUUUUAGGUCACAUUCAUGCAGAAACACAGAACAUUGUAAAGGGCUACCAAACCUUCAAGCACCCCUCACUGUUUGUCUAGCACACAUAAGCCAUCCUCUGUCAGCCCAGACGCAUGUAUGCCAGCCUGGUCUAGGCUGCCUCUAUCCACCCCUGGGUCCUGAGGGACUCCACCUCUAUCUGCCCCUAGGUCCUGAGGGGCUGCACCUCUAUCUGCCCCUAGGUCCUGAGGGACUCCAUCUCUGUGCCUGCCCUCACGGGGCAAACCUGCAGUGCUGCUCCUGCUGCCGUCAUGUAAUCAACACUUAUAGUCACAUAUCUGCCAUGCGUGCUGGAGCCAGGGCAGGAGAAGGAGGAGGAGGAGGAGGAGGAGGAGGAGGAGGAGGAGGAGGUGGAGCAGUGAGGUCAGGUCUCUUAUGCGCUAGUGUCCCUCUCGCUGACACAUCUGGCUUCAGAUUGCAGUGUUUGGGUACAGAAUUAACAAUCUGACCAAACUGGCUUCACAGAUAUCCAUAUUCCACCCUCUCCUUCACUGGCACUGGCUGAGCUGCGGGUCUGAGGAGAGACCUACUGUGAGGCCCAAAGAGGACGACCCUACAUCAAUCAGACAGGUCCAGCCAGGUCAGAUGAAGAACUCAUCAGCCUGCUGCGUGUGGUUCUGACCCGGAGUUGGACCCGGUUCCCCCCCGGCUGUCCUCUCCUUUGGGGCCCUGAUGUCUGCGGUUUUGUUGGUACUCCUGCACAUUCCCAGAGACGUCGCAGUGACCUCUGCCCUCUGCUCUGUGCCAGCUGGAGACCCGGGCGCCCACGUCCUGGCAGUGCCCGGCGCCGCUGUGUGUGGGUCGGGCAGGCAGCGGCUCAGCUCCCUGGCCAGCGUCUCCAGUGCGGAGGCCCCGACGGCGGCGGGUCUCUCGGCCCGUGAAGGCACUACGGCGCAGCCCGUGUCCACGUUGGUCUCCGGCUCCUCCUCUUCCUCCUCCUCCUCCUCCUCCAGGAGCAGGAAAGACAGGGAGGAGGAAGAGGAGGGGGGCUGUGCCGACCCGGGGGGGUGGGAAGGGGGGGGCGCGGGGCUGCUGCGCUGGGACGAGUAGCAGGAGCUGCCGGGCGGGGUGCUGCAGCAGCUGUCCGAGCCCACGCUCUCCCCGCCCCCGAUGUUCAGCGGGGCGUACGAGGAGCAGCGCUGCUCCGGCCCACACUCGGCCCGCAUCCGGCCCAGAGUCACCCGGCUGUCUCUCAGCUGCGCCAGCCUGCCACUGGGGGAGAGGCCCGCAGACACGCUGGAGUGUCUCGGGACGCCCGCUCUGGAGGUGGGCAGGCUGGCGGAGGUCAGAGGGAAGGCAGAGACGCAGGGCCGCUGGGCCUGAACACAGCCCUUCACCUGGGGGAGACACAGAGAGAGACAGAGCAGGCUGCAGUCACACAGGAAGCACUCUACAUCAGACAACACAUCUAGUUAAGCAACAGUACUGUUAUAUUAAGAAAGGAAGUGUAGGAUUUGCAGUUUGUAUGCAACAAUUUGCCACAUUUUGAGGUAUGUUUUUACAGGCAACUAAUCUUGGCAUCAGAUCCAGGUAGAGCAGCAGAGCAUUAGCGCAUGUGCUAAAGGCACCCGGGUCAACAUCAGACAGGAUGCACCUGGGUAAUAAUACAAAUUACA
ensembl:lncRNA